rnacentral:ribozyme from 17 species
GAAAGAACGAACAAGAGCAAGAGGAAAGAACGAACAAGAGCACAGUAAUGCCUCAAUUCUGAUGGUUCGUUCUCUAUUUUUGUUUGUUUUUGUGUUGCUUCUUUUUCGUUGUCGUUUGAUGUUUACUUUCUCAUUUUCAACAACAG